rnacentral:lncRNA from 1 species
UGUUCUCUCUCCACAGGUGUGGUUCUUCCUUUUGUUCAGAGUACCAAUGCUACAACAUCAGGACCACUUUGUUAUCACUGAGCAACCAUUUUGGUCAUCAGAGCAUCUUGUGCCACAUUUAUCGAACUUCCCCCAUCCUGUGGUACGGCGUCAUCCAACAUCACAAGAAUCGAGACUCAUCAGUUGCCUCAUUCAUCUGUUAAACACGGACCGUGGCGUCCCCGUCUGCACGGGCUCCUGAACCACCGACAAGAACAGUAGAUAGGAACUCAGCCUUAGCCACCUGCCAUCCCUGUGCACUGGACUGUUCUCUGAGCUUCAGUUUUCUCAUCUGGAACCAGUCAGGAGAACGCCCACCUUGGGCUUUAAGAGGAAGUGUUUGAUAGGAUAAUAUACCAAAGAUGAAGCCCGAACCAUCGAACCAUCCCCUGACCGAACCAUCUCACUCCGACUUAGAAGAGGAUGAGUAACCCCCCCCCCCCUCUGCCAUCUUAGUCCCAGGCCAGAGGCUCCCGGAGUGGUUAUGACCUUGGGCAGUGCCCUUACCUGUGCUUCCUGGAUGAGCUGGGAUGCAGGAGAGUCAGACACCAAGCAGAGUAGAUAGCACAGCAGAGAUGCUUAACUUCCUAGAGAAGGAGAGAGGGUUUGGAGUUAGUUGAGAGUACAGCCAGGGGUUGGGCUUCCUAAGUGAACAUGACAUCCAGUGUCCUCAGUCACUGUGAUCUCCAUCCAAGGCUGCCACUGCUUUUUAUCAGUUCCAGCAAAGGGCUGGGUAGGAUGGGCCUCUGUCUGGCAUCAGAUCAAACUCCUGGCUCCUUCUCCACUUAACCUGCUAGCUGUUGCCCAUCUUGUUUACUGGCUCAGGAAAUGCUUGGGUGGUACCACCAGGGUAUCUGGUGUCAACAGAUACAUUCUGUUGUCAAUCAUGUCUGGUUUCUAGUCCUGGCUUUGGGGAUAUCUACUGCAUCUCCCCGCAUCUCUGCUUCCUCUUCUGUAUAAUGGGGCUUUAAUGGUGCCUACCUCCUGUGUGCCAGCUGGAUCCUGGCUGCAGAGGCACAUAGAUGAGAGCCCCUUAAAUCCUAAUUACAUCCCUCACUUCAGUCCUGGUGGUGCCAAUCUUGCUGCAAGAUGCCAGCAUUGGCUCAUCUGUGUCUGUUCCCAGGCCUUUCCCAAGGUCUGGCAAUGUCAGCAUCUCGCCAGUGUUUGUUGACUGAGCCUGCUCCCAUGGUCUGGUAGACCUGUCUUUACACACUGAGGAUUAGAGAGGUCCAAUUUAACGGAGAGCAGAGGUGGGGGGGCAGUUGACGUGAUGGUCCAGUUCACAUGGAGGUAUGCAUGGAGCUCGGAUCCCAACCCAUAGCCCAUAAACUGUCUGUCCAGCUGCUGAACUCAGGGCCUGGUGGGCCUCUUCUUGGCCGAGCACCAGAUGUAGGCUAUUGAGGGGGGGGCUGCAACAUCUUACCCAGUUCCUCCCAGUGCAACCUAUCACUUCCUCCUGGACUCUCUCUGUCUUCUUUCCAGUAACAGUCCUACUUCAGGUACAAUGGUCAUUUAACAAAGUGGGGGCUGAGGUUCAGAGGACCACUGACCCCUCUCCCAUAGCCUAUGUGACUAUGUUUAACCUUCAGCAUACACAGCUUCGGCCCUUAGCCCCACUGUUGGAAUAGGGGCUCCUUCAGGAUGCUCUCCAGGACCCAGGACUGAGCAGGUUUUGACUUGUGGUAGUGAAAAGCGUCAAUUCUCACACGGACUAGCUCCUUUCACAGACUAGCUAUUCUAACUACACAGGGGAGGGUCUCAGUUUCAGCACUGUCUUAAACGGCUCACUAUCUGACCAGUCCAGUGUCACAGCUUUCUUCUGCAGAGGAUGACAAAGAGGCUCAAUAAGGACUUGACCCACACAGUUCAAGCUCAGAUCCCCACUGGUCUUAAACAGAAGUGAGAUGUGAAGAGCUGCCAAGAAAGCAGCCAACUGAAAUAUACUGCAGGCUUGUCAAGGCUAGCCCUCCCCAGGAGUAGCAGGAACUUCCCUGAGAAAAUGAGCUGGGGGUUGAAACCUAGAGAGACCAAGAGAACGGUUGAAUGCAAAGGGCUCGCCAGACAGAGGGAACACUGCCUGCAAACUCAUGCAGAGAGUGUGGUCCAGUAGGGGAAUUCAGAAGCACGUGGCUGGCCUUGAGGCAGGGUCCUCAGGGCAGCCAGGGAGAGAUGGGCCUCAGAGUCGUGUCUCUGGGGUAGUAGGGGAUGGGAUUUGAGUGCAGGGGAAGCUGGGAGCUUGGCAUAGUCUUGCCGGGGGGUUGGGCAGAGAGAGGCAUGGGACAGACAUUUGGAGUAUGGAGAUGGGAGAAGCAGAAGCAGGCUCUCUGUGCUUGAGGGGGUGUGGGGUUGGGGAAGAAGGGACCCAGCCUCCUGGGCUGGGUGCAGUAGAGACUUGGGAGAGGUUGUAAAUCACCCAUCCUGGGAAGCUCUCUGAUCGACCUCAAGAAAAUCUCUGUGGCAGGCUCUGGUCCCAGCCCCAGCUCCUGUCCUAGCCUCAGCAGCUACUAGAUCGUUCCCCAGUGUCAAUCUCACUCUGUUGAACUUGGCAACGGCAGCUUAUAAGGGCUCCCACCACCCCUGUCCCCACUGGUCACUCCAUUUCUAUCCUGCAACCUUGCUGAGUUUCCCAUGACCCAGGGUAUCUGCUCUUUCUGUUUCUUCUGCCCCUGGUGCUGCAUGUUUGCCCUUAGAAUAUACAGAACCUGGC